UAUUCAUAAAAUAACCUUUCACCCUUCAUUAUUCUUUGGGCUGCUGAAUACACAUAAACCCCUUGUCCUUUGUGAUGAAGGAAAAAUGACAAUUCGACUAGCAGCUCCCAAAAAUACAUUCACACGGCUUUAUAUAUAUUGAACAGUCAGUUUCAUCACAAGAAUUGUUAUCAAGAGGCAGCAACAUGACGUAAAAUUAUUUUCCUCAAGGGAAAUAUUCGAGUUUCACUCACUGCUUUGAUCUCGUUAUUCCAUUUUGUGGUGUUGUUGAAUCUGGGUUUUCUUCGUACUGAAGUAAGGUGGAAGCAGAUUAUUUCUUGGAAUAUAAGGUUUAUCAUAUUAAUUGUGGAAGUUCUUGGAUGGACUGAGCUCUUGAACGACGUGAGGUACAGUGGUUCGAGAUCCGCCAGUGUAGGCCACACAUUCUGCUAUUAUAGAGUGCUCCUUUUGAUCCGGAGCCCAUAUGUUGGUACACAUCUUUUGUGACAUAUAUGCUUUGUAUAUCUGACUAUUUGGGAUACGGCGGGCCCUGUCCCGUCAUAUGAUUCGGUUGGUCUGUUUAGAGGUCUGUAGACGUAUAUGUGGGUCAUGGGUCGUGUUUGUUCUAUUAUGUUUGUGAUUUGUGCCUUAAGCGGUCCCGUUUGAUAUUAUGGCCAAAACGGCCCAUAUGUUUAUAUAUGUUUGUAUAUCUGGGCGAUGUGUAUUCCGCCAACCUUCCGGAUUUGAUAUGAUGUUUCUGUACGG